UUAUACUCUCAUGUUACUCGACGUUAUGGUGAAUAUCUGGCCAUUUAACUUGCAAGACUGAAGCUUUUUUAGUUGUUGCGUUAUGAGCUUAGGCCUCCCACCAAGCAAUUUAGUUCAGUUUUUGAUCCCUUGAAGCACACCACAACACCCUCCCUUUUUCUUUCUCUCUGCCUCAGCCCUCAGGCAACAAGCAAGAACAAGGGCCCAGAUGUGGUUCUCUUUUUUUCUCUAUCUUCCUCUCCAUGCGUGUCUCAUUCUCAGGUCUACCGAUGGAAUGAUGAUGGAAAAUGGGAUGAUCAAGGUUGGGCAUGUCACUCUUGACAAUUUGGAGCAUUGACUGCAACUCCUCCAGCUAGAACAACCUCCUCAAGUUCUUGAAUGGUUUGGCUAAGCUUUUCCACCUCCUGAACCUUUUGGCAGUUUGUUUUCUCAAGGAUUCUAUUUUCUUCCUGCACAUGUUACACAUGUCAGUUACCUUGACAAUUCAGCCUCACCAUAUGUA